rnacentral:rRNA from 1 species
UACGUAGGGGGGCUAGCGUUGUCCGGAAUCAUUGGGCGUAAAGAGCGUGUAGGCGGUCCGGUAAGUCCGCUGUGAAAGUCGGGGGCUCAACCCUCGAAUGCCGGUGGAUACUGUCGGGCUAGAGUCCGGAAGAGGCGAGUGGAAUUCCUGGUGUAGCGGUGAAAUGCGCAGAUAUCAGGAGGAACACCUAUUGCGAAGGCAGCUCGCUGGGACGUUACUGACGCUGAGACGCGAAAGCGUGGGGAGCAAACAGG